GUCCCUGUCGAUUAGUGGUUAAAUCAUCGUGUUGUGGUUGUUUCCAAAACAUAGCAUAUCCGCGAAGCCGGGAGCUCGAAUCUCCCCAGGGACA